rnacentral:tRNA from 1 species
GGACCCUUAGCUCAAUUGGUAGAGCUUUGUACUUAUGUGGAUAUCUAAUAUGCAAGGGUCCCGAGUUCGAUCCUCGGAGGGUCCA